UCCACCUACCUCUGUUUCUAGAGUUCUGGGAUUAAAGCCCUGUACUACCAAGCAAGGCAGAUAGUGAUGUCUGAAUGAGAAGGGAAAACACUAUCAGAAAGACAUCUAUAUCACAUGGAGGCAAGUUCAGCAAAAGAGACGCAGCCUGGCAGAGGCACUGGAUUGCUUCCUGUGAUUUGUUUUGCUUCCAAGGGAGGGGACCACUUUGCUGCUGAAGCCCCUCGCUUGGACAUGGUGAACGGGUGGUGGUAGCGCGGGCGUUAUUGCUACAGACAGCACCAGUGAAGACCAAGGAGUUAUUUUGAAACUGUCAUUUUCAUCAGGACUUCCUGUCUGUCAGAUCACUUCCCUAGAGUUCCAUUGCCAAUAUCCUUACACUGCCUUCUCCUUGUGGAGAUUGGAAUUUGGGAGAGCUCAACAUCAAGCAUCUGACAUUCGGGGUUUUUAUUUUUAAGACUGUAAUUAUGAAGAAAUUUAGAUUUUGGGGAUUAUAGACAUUUGGGGAUUUUAAUCUCUCAGAGUUUGAGCAACUGGAGCAACAUCAUCUGAGGUUGAAUCUUUUGGGAACAGGACCAUGCUUGCCACAAAGGAGAGAGCCAUCUUUUUGAAGCAGCUUAGUGAUGCUCUCUCAGCAAGACAGUCCUCAUUAGAUGGCAGGAAAUCUGAUUAAAGUCUCAGCACCAAACUGUAACUAUUAAAGAGAGGGUGGGUCAACAAGACACAUGUGGGUAGAGGGGUAGCAGCUAAACCUGGCAGCCUGAGUCAAAUCACAGACCAAGGUGAUGGGGGAUAUUCGAUCACACUGUAAACCUCAAGUCUGCAUUUGCAUUAAUUAAAUAAAAUUUACCUUGGGUCAAGAGGCUGCAUUGGAAACUAGUUGACAGAAAGUAAUCAUAGAGCUUCAGAGGGCAUCCAGGAGAGAUAGAGAGGCACAGGAAGUGGUAGGGUUGGAUGUGGAGUGACACAGCUUUCUGUGGUUUGGCAGAGCGGAAGCACGGGUCUUCCGAUGCCAGCAAGAGAGGUUCAGGUAGUUGCUGCUCAGCCUCUCUGAGCUCGCAGGUUUUCACCCCAGCCUUUGAAUCUCACGACUCUCAUAAUUCCAACGAUAGAGAUUUAGUGAAAGCCACCUUCAGCAGCAGGGGCAGGGCUGCUGCUUGUGGGAACAGAAUUCUCACCAGGCUGCUGGCGGAAUGGCCAGGCCACCGCUAGAUCAGCAGACUUGUACAGUGGACUCACAGUUGCUGAGACAGCAGUGGAAUAAGGCACAGCCACUGUGCCGAAGUGAAACACCACCAGUGAUGGAAUGGGGGACCUGACUCUAGCAAGUUAUCCUCUGAGCUCUGUGAACACCAUAGUGAGUGCAUGCACUCUGGUGAACACGUGUACACACACACACACACACACACACACACACACACACACACACACACAAAUACACAAACAUAUGAAAUGCAUGUAAAAGGUUUAGGAAAACCUCCUACUAUGGACUGAAACCUGCAUCAAAGCAUAUUAUCAAACUAUUUUCCGUACUCAAAGCCUGAGUUUAAAAUUUUAUUGAAUCCACUGUAGUCAGGUUUAGAAAAAUAACUAGAAAA